rnacentral:pre_miRNA from 1 species
UGUGUACUCCCUCCAUUCCAAAAUACUUGACUUCCAUUUGUCCAAAAACGGAUGUACCUAUAUACUAAAACAUGUCUAGAUACAUAUAUAUUUUGACAAAUAGAAGGCAUGUAUUGUGCAACGGAGGGAGUAGAAU